AGGACGAACGCUGGCGGCGUGCUUAACACAUGCAAGUCGAACGGAAAGGCCCGCUUGCGGGUACUCGAGUGGCGAACGGGUGAGUAACACGUGGGCAACCUGCCCUCAGCUUCGGGAUAACACUUGGAAACAGGUGCUAAUACCGGAUGAUAACCUUUCACCGCAUGGUGGUUGGUUCAAAGUUUUUCGGCUGAGGAUGGGCCCGCGGCCUAUCAGCUUGUUGGUGGGUGAUGGCCUACCAAGGCGACGACGGGUA
rnacentral:rRNA from 1 species